rnacentral:rRNA from 1 species
UUAAAGGGCUGCAGUAUAUUGACUGUACAAAGGUAGCAUAAUCAUUAGUCAUUUAAUUGGUGACUUGUAUGAAAGAUUGGAUGAAGUAUAAACUGUCUUUUAUUUAUUUAUAAAAUUUAAUUUUUUUAUAAAAAAGUUAAAAUAAUUUAAAAAGACGAGAAGACCCUAUAGAGUUUUAUAAAUAAUUUGAAUAAGAAUAUAUUGAAAAUUAAAUUUAAAAUUAAGAUUAUUUAUUUUAUUGGGGUGAUAGAAAAAUAUAUAAAACUUUUUUUUUAAAAAAAAAACAUUUAUAAUUGAUUAAUUGAUCCAAUAAUAUUGAUUAUAAGAAAAAAUUACCUUAGGGAUAACAGCGUAAUUUUUUUUUUUAGUUCAAAUAAGAAAAAGAGUUUGCGACCUCGAUGUUGGAUUAAGAUAAAAAUUAGGUGUAGAAG